rnacentral:rRNA from 1 species
UGCCAGCCGCCGCGGUAAUACGGAGGGUGCAAGCGUUAUCCGGAUUUACUGGGUUUAAAGGGUGCGUAGGCGGAUUUGUAAGUCAGUGGUGAAACCCCCGAGCUCAACUCGGGAACUGCCAUUGAUACUGCUAAUCUUGAGUACAGUUGGGGUGGGCGGAAUGUGUCAUGUAGCGGUGAAAUGCUUAGAUAUGACACAGAACACCAAUUGCGAAGGCAGCUCGCUAAACUGUAACUGACGCUGAGGCACGAAAGCGUGGGGAGCGAACAGGAUUAGAUA